rnacentral:rRNA from 1 species
AGUGAACGCUGGCGGUAGGCCUAACACAUGCAAGUCGAACGGCAGCACAGUAAGAGCUUGCUCUUACGGGUGGCGAGUGGCGGACGGGUGAGGAAUACAUCGGAAUCUACUUUUUCGUGGGGGAUAACGUAGGGAAACUUACGCUAAUACCGCAUACGACCUACGGGUGAAAGCAUGGGAUCUUCGGACCUUGCGCGAUUGAAUGAGCCGAUGUCGGAUUAGCUAGUUGGCGGGGUAAAGGCCCACCAAGGCGACGAUCCGUAGCUGGUCUGAGAGGAUGAUCAGCCACACUGGAGCUGAGACACGGUCCAGACUCCUACGGGAGGCAGCAGUGGGGAAUAUUGGACAAUGGGCGCGAGCCUGAUCCAGCCAUACCGCGUGGGUGAAGAAGGCCUUCGGGUUGUAAAGCCCUUUUGUUGGGAAAGAAAAGCAGCAGGUUAAUACCCCGCUGUUCUGACGGUACCCAAAGAAUAAGCACCGGCUAACUUCGUG